rnacentral:rRNA from 1 species
GACGAACGCUGGCGGCGUGCUUAACACAUGCAAGUCGAACGGAAAGGCCCUGCUUUUGUGGGGUGCUCGAGUGGCGAACGGGUGAGUAACACGUGAGUAACCUGCCCUUGACUUUGGGAUAACUUCAGGAAACUGGGGCUAAUACCGGAUAGGAGCUCCUGCUGCAUGGUGGGGGUUGGAAAGUUUCGGCGGUUGGGGAUGGACUGGCGGCUUAUCAGCUUGUUGGUGGGGUAGUGGCUUACCAAGGCUUUGACGGGUAGCCGGCCUGUGAGGGUGACCGGCCACAUGGGGACUGAGAGACGGCCCAGACUCCUACGGGAGGCAGCAGUGGGGAAUAUUGCACAAUGGGCGGAAGCCUGAUGCAGCAACGCCGCGUGCGGGAUGACGGCCUUCGGGUUGUAAACCGCUUUCGCCUGUGACGAAGCGGGAGUGACGGUAAUGGGUAAAGAAGCACCGGCUAACUACGUG